rnacentral:rRNA from 1 species
GACAAAGGGUGCAAACGUUGCUCGGAAUUACUGGGCGUAAAGCGCGUGUAGGUGGAUUGGUGUGUCAGAUGUGAAAUCCCUGGGCUCAACCCAGGAACUGCACCUGAAACUACCAGUCUUGAGUGGUGGAGAGGGAAGUGGAAUUCCUGGUGUAGAGGUGAAAUUCGUAGAUAUCAGGAGGAACACCAGUGGCGAAGGCGGCUUCCUGGACACCAACUGACGCUGAGACGCGAAAGCGUGGGGAGCAAACAGG